UUCAAUUUGGAAAAUGAACCUCAAUUCAAUUCGGAAAACAUAACUUUGCAAUAUAUAUAUCUAUAUUUAAAAACACAUGAAAAUGGACAUUUUGAACUUUUGAAGACAUGAUAAUAUAUAAUAAUAUAUAACACACUAUAUAUAAUGAUUGAGUGUUGAUCAUAUAAGUUAAUCUCAUGGUGUAGCAAUGACCAUGAUCCCUUCACCUGAGGAGAUUCAGAAGCUUCUAUUUAAACUCAACCCCAACAAAGCACCUGGACCUGAUGGACUAACUUCCGACUUCUACAAGUCAUCUUGGAGCUUUCUCGGGGUGGAGGUUCUCUCUUCGAUCACCCACUUCUUCCAGUACUCUUUCAUGCCAGUUUCUACAAAUUCAACAAUCCUUGCAUUGGUCCCUAAACGGCCAGGAGCUUCUGUCAUCUCUGAUUUCCGCCCUAUAAGCUGCCUCAACACACUAUACAAGGUCAUCGCCAGACUUCUUGUCAGAAGGAUUAAGCCGAUACUGCCAGAGCUGAUUGUCCUUAAUCAGACAGCGUUUGUUAAAGGCCGGCUCAUAGUAGAGAAUACAGUCCUUGCGGGAGAGCUUGUCAACGGCUAUCAUCGAAAGACAGGGCCCAAAAGGAUAACUAUAAAGGUUGAUACAGCCAAGGCCUUCGACACCCUCUCGUGGGAAUUUCUUUUCGACUGCCUUGACGGUCUGCAACUUCCAUCAGUGCUAAUCACAUGGCUGAGAGCUUGCGUUUGCACUCCUAACUUCACCAUUGGUUAUAACGGUAGAGUGCAUGGUUACUUCAAAGGAAAGCGUGGACUGAGACAGGGUGAUCCCCUAUCUCCCUAUCUCUUCGUCAUCGCAAUGAACAUGCUCUCUCUCAUGUUGAAUAAGGCUGCAGCGGACUUGAAGAUUAAAUAUCAUCACAAAUGCAGCAGGUCCAAGCUUACUCAUUUAUGUUUUGCAGAUGACCUUCUCAUAUUCAUGGAUGGUUCACUCAGCUCAGUGCAGAAUGUCCUUCAAGUACUCAAAGAGUUUGAACUGUGGUCUGGCCUAGCUGUAAGUGUGCAGAAAUCUUCAUUUAAUGCCUCUGGACUAUCGCAGCAGGAAAUAAAUGUCAUCAAGGUGUCAACAGGAAUGGCUAACGGAACACUCCCAGUUCGUUACCUUGGAGUUCUAUUCUGCAGAAAGAAGUUAACAACAUCAAAUUGUGAGGUUUUGAUUCAGCAAGUUAAAUCAAAGUUUACAUCAUGGACUGUUAAGACCCUUUCCUUUGCUGGGAGGCUUCUCUUAAUAAAAACGGUCAUUGCGGGAAUCACUAACUUCUGGUGCUCAACAUUUGUACUGCCUAAAGCUGUAGUGAAAAGAAUUAAUUCUCUUUGUGGUCUAUUUCUAUGGAAAGGAAGGCUCGAUGCUCAUCACUCGGCUAAGGUUUCAUGGGAAGUGGUGACAAAAGAAAAAACUUGUGGUGGACUCGGUGUUAAGGACCUCCUAACAUGGAACAAGGCGUGCUGUAUAAAACUGAUUUGGUUGUUGUUCUUUCAGGCGGGAUCAAUCUGGGUUGGUUGGUUCAAAACAGAAGUACUAAAGGGAUCACUUUCUAAUUUCUGGACUAAGAAACCUUCAACAACAAACUCGUGGCUAGUGAACAAGCUAUUCAAGCUCAGAGACGAAGUAUUUACUUGGAUAAAGAUGGAAGUAGGCAAUGGAGAAGCUUGUCGGUUCUGGUCUGAUAACUGGUCGCCGUUUGGAAAAUUGUCUAAGUACUUGCUUUCAGACGCUCCAUCAGGUAUGGGAAUUAGUUUGAGGACUACUGUUGCGGACCUUUAUGUGGAAGGAAACUGGAGACUUCCCCCUCCUCGUUCAGAGAAAAUGGUGCAGCUGCAUAUAUUUUUCACAACUUCGCGGAGGAUCGUUACGAAUGGGCAGUGAAUGGUAAGUCAUCAUUGAGAUACAGUACUGGUGAGAUUUAAUUAUCGGAAGCUAAGGGAGGAGGAAGAGACUGUACCUUGGGCGUCUAUUGUUUGGAUAGGGAGAGGCAUUCCACGGCAUAAUUUUCUGACUUGGCUGUUUGUACUAAAUAGAUGUCCAACUCGGGACCGUCUCAUUGGAUGGGGAUUACAAACUGAUGCGGCGUGUCUUCUCUGUAAUCAGAACGCUGAAUCGAGAGACCACUUGUUCUUCUUAUGCCCUUACAGCUGGACAAUUUGGGUAGAGAUCUCCAGAAGAUGUUGCCUGCAACCGAUUCAAAAUUGGGUUCAAAUUUUGGUUAACCUGCAGGCUCUUCAAGGCAAUAAGACUAGGAAAAAACUUACACUGUUAUGUUGGCAAUCCUCCCUUUACUGGAUUUGGCAGGAGAAAAACAAACGAUUGCAUAACAAUCAGUUUCGCCCAACAGAUGCCAUCAUCAGACCGAUCACUCGCCAAAUCACAGACCGAAUCAGCAGUUACCGAUUCAACUCUCCCUCCGCUUCAUCUCGCUACAUGCAUAUGUGACUCUCUACGACAUAACUGAGGAAUAGGGAAAGUCGUAUUCAACUUGGGCUCUCUUGGGCCAGAUCUGAUCUUUUAAUUAUGGGAUAAAUGGGUUUAAUUGGGUACUUACUAUGGUGGG
rnacentral:lncRNA from 1 species